AUGGCGAGGGAGCUCGGCGGCGCUCUGUGCCGCACCCCGGCGAGGGAUCCCGCAUCCGCGCUCGGGAGCGACGAGAACGCGCGGCCUGGCGGAGCUUCGACUCCCGCCCCGGCGGAGCCCAUCGCGACCUCCCGGCACCCCCUCCGCGCUAUCCAGCCGCCGGGGCAGCCCCGGCGGCCGGCGCCGACGCCCAAGAAGGGUAAGGAGGCUAGGACAGCGGGCAAGACGUCGGCGCGGAUCGGCGCGGUGAGCACUCCCCUUGGCCCGACCAAGAUCCUGGGGAAGCCGAAGCCGGUGCCGAGGCAGGGGUUCUUGACGAUGGGGGCCAGUUCUGCGCAGGUCCAACGUUCCAAGGUCCGAAACCCCAUCUUGCUCCGGGAGGAGAAUCGCAAUGUGCAGAAUGUUUCGUCAACAUUGCAGCAAGAUGACUCUCAUGCACCUGCAAAGGAAGAAGACAACUCAGAAGAUACAUUGAGCCUGCAGCUGGAGUUGGCCAUAACCGAAACAAUUCUUGCGGACGAGAUGAAAGCCCGAGCAGAAGCUGAGGUCAGGGCAACUGCUUUAGGAGAUGAGCUGAAAGCAGCAAAUUUACGUACCCUUGAAGCUUGCAGGCAGAAGGAAGCCACAGAAAAGGAACUGAAAGACACAUUAUCUGUUUUGGAUGUUGUUGAAUCGGAGCAGAUUUGUUUGAUAAAGGAAGUAGAGGAGCUGAAGAAGAAGAAUUUGGAGCAGGUUAGUUUGAUAAAGGAACUAGAGGAGCUGAAGAAAAACAAUUUCCAAAGCCCAGUAUUUCAUAAGAAGAGGGAUGUGGAAACUCUGAUUUUAAACACUGAGCUUGAGCAAGAAAUGGAUGAAAUCCAUAGGCAGGCUAUGUGUGAAACGUCUGAGGUGAUUAUAUCCUUACAAAAACAGCUGUUGUCACUGCAACAGCAGCUAGAUGCCUGUAACAAAAAAGAGUUGUUGGCUGCCAAACGCCUUGUUUUGUUGGAUCAGUCCACCGAAAUUCUUGUGCAGAAGGAGGUUCUUGAACAAUGCUUUGUUUCAUUACUGAGAGGGAUGGAAGAAGAGACUCGUCAGCUCGAGUCCAAACUAGACCAGUCAAAUAGAUUCUAUGAAGGUAGAAUUAAAGAACUGGAGAUAAAGAUGCAAGAAAUGGAUUAUCAGGCUGGAGCAUUACUUAUUUCAUGGAAUAAAGAAAAAGAGAUAUCAGAGGAAAGGAAGGCAUAUGUCGAAGAGAAAAAUAAAGUAAUCAAGCUAUUGGAGAUGUCCAAUGAGGAUGGCCAGAUUACUGUGUGUUCAUUGGAAGAAAAGGUGAAAUUACUCGAGGAAGAAGCACAACAACACAGAAGGCAACAGGAAAAACUAGAAGUGGAGCUGCAGAAUGCCAGGCAACAAUUGCUAGUUGUGCCAUCCUCUGGGGAAGCAAAGAGCUCCUUGGAAGACAGAAUGGUUGAUUCACCUGACCCAACCAGGCACCCGAGUAAUAUAAACAAUGGGGUACUGCGUUCUCAGGAGAGUAGAAUAGGUCAAAAGGAGCCUUUUGAAUCAGAGGUAAUGAUGGCAUUCUUUGAAGAGCAAAUGCAAGGAAGCUAUGCAAGCUCAUUAGGUGAUGUAUUCAAGGAAGUUGCAGAAGAUUCUCUUCCUGUCUCACAUUCUCUUCCACACAUUACAAGCCAAACAAAGCCGAAUCCAAAUGUAGUUGAGGAGGCAGUCGAGCUAGACACUAUAGCUGUUGAGUCAACUCCUCUGGUGGAACACCAAGACGAGCCUGGUGAGCCUUCUUCAGAUGAGUGCAUGCAGGAGUCCGACCCAUCAGGUCUAGAGAUGGCAAAGCCACAUUCAUUAGAAAAGGAUUUCUGGUCCGAGAACUCGGAGUUUGAUUCAGAAGAGCAAGUGCCGCCUCCAGCUGUGGAGUCAGUGAUUGAAGUUCUGAAGGAGAAUGAGUUGCCUCCAGUUUCUCUAGUGCGUCCCAAUGAUCCGGUGGACUACACUCGAGCCCCUUUUGAGCUGAAGAGGCUCAGAAGCAGGAACCACUACAAGGGGCAUAGGACAGCAACAGACAGGAGAUUCUGGUCCAUUGAGCAGCAGGACUUGUACAACUUCAUAUACAGUAGGGCCGGGUUGUUUCCUAUGCAGUGGAUAGACUGGGACUAUAUUGAUAGCAUGGAUGAGUUUUCUUGUGUCAGACAGAGAUGUGCCCAUGUGGGGCUUGAGCAGAUGAUGAGUUACCAUUGUGAUUGGGACAUCGAACUGAUUAGGCAGUUUUACUCUACAGUUUAUAUCAGCGACGACAAUAGCUCUAUUACUUGGAUGGCAGAUGGCAGGAGGGUCACUACCAACAAAAGAGCAUGGGAGGAGACAUUUGGCAUUGCUGGCAGCAUUCACACUUCAAGAAUUCACUCAGAGUUUUUCUUUGAUGAUGAUGACAAGAGGAUCAUGUACACAGCUGCAGAAUGCACAGUAGACCAAACCAGGGGCCUCUCUCCAUUGGCUAGCAUAGCCAAUAAGAUUAUUUGGAAAACCAUCUAUCCCAAGUCUUCUGGAAGUAAAGUCCACGGAUACAACUGGAACCUCCUACAUCAUAUUGUGGAGCAGCACCCAUUUGACAUCAUUGCUUUGAUCUUCGACGAGAUUAAGUUACUUAUUUCAGAUCACAGUCCUUUUCUAAAAAAAAAGAAGAAAGAUCACAGUCGCACUAACCUCUUGUAUGCACCAUACAUCAUGGGGAUGAUCAUGCGAGCUUUUGAAUAUGAUGGACCUAGAGAAACCAGGCACCAGCCCUACAAGCCCAGGCCCGACAAGUCAAAGCAGACGAAAAAAGUUGGUCGUCCACUGGCACCUGCAGUAGUUGCACCUUCUGAGCCACCACCUUCAGCAUGUCAGCCGGAGGUAGAGGCCAAUGUUGAGGCAGAUGACCACAGCCAGUUUGAGGAAGCCGGACACCGGCCCCAGGGAGAGGCAGUGCAGCAUACCAAUGCCUCCUUGUCUUCUCAGAUCCUAGCUCCACGCUCCUCCCUGACACCUUCCCUUGAGGCUACCACUCCCUCACCGCCUCUGGCUCCAGCUGCAUUUCCUGAGCAGGCCAGCAUGAUGCACGCCGGCCUCCGGUGCUUCAGCUCAGCCAGCUGUUUUGGGGCCAAGUCCUUUUAG
rnacentral:rRNA from 1 species